GCUGGGUGGAUCAGUGGCGAACGGGUGAGUAACACGUGAGCAAUCUGCCCUUGACUCUGGGAUAAGCGCUGGAAACGGCGUCUAAUACUGGAUAUGAACUGUGGCCGCAUGGUCGGCAGUUGGAAAGAAUUUCGGUCAAGGAUGAGCUCGCGGCCUAUCAGCUUGUUGGUGAGGUAAUGGCUCACCANGGCGUCGACGGGUAGCCGGCCUGAGAGGGUGACCGGCCACACUGGGACUGAGACACGGCCCAGACUCCUACGGGAGGCAGCAGUGGGGAAUAUUGCACAAUGGGCGCAAGCCUGAUGCAGCAACGCCGCGUGAGGGAUGACGGCCUUCGGGUUGUAAACCUCUUUUAGCAGGGAAGAAGCGAAAGUGACGGUACCUGCAGAAAAAGCACCGGCUAACUACGUGCCAGCAGCCGCGGUAAUACGUAGGGUGCAAGCGUUAUCCGGAAUUAUUGGGCGUAAAGAGCUCGUAGGCGGUUUGUCGCGUCUGCUGUGAAAACUGGAGGCUCAACCUCCAGCCUGC
rnacentral:rRNA from 1 species